rnacentral:rRNA from 1 species
GACCCGCGUCUGAUUAGCUAGUUGGUAAGGUAACGGCUUACCAAGGCGACGAUCAGUAGCCGACCUGAGAGGGUGAUCGGCCACAUUGGAACUGAGACACGGUCCAAACUCCUACGGGAGGCAGCAGGGGGGAAUAUUGCACAAUGGGCGAAAGCCGGAUGCAGCAACGCCGCGUGAGUGAUGAAGGCCUUCGGGUCGUAAAACUCUGUCCUCAAGGAAUAUAAUGACGGUACUUGCGGAGGAAGCCCCGGCUAACUACGUGCCAGCAGCCGCGGUAAUACGUAGGGGGCUAGCGUUAUCCGGAUUUACUGGGCGUAAAGGGUGCGUAGGCGGUCUUUCAAGUCAGGCGUGAAAGGCUACGGCUCAACCGUAGUAAGCUCAUGAAACUGGGAGACUUGAGUGCAGGAGAUGAGAGUGGAAUUCCUAGUGUAGCGGUGAAAUGCGUAGAUAUUAGGAGGAACACCAGUUGCGAAGGCGGCUCUCUGGACUGUAACUGACGCUGAGGCACGAAAGCGUGGGGAGCAAACAGGCUUAGAUACCCUGGUUGUCCACGCUGUAAACGAUGAGGACUAGGUGUCGGGGGUUACCCCC